rnacentral:snoRNA from 1 species
AAACCAUGAUGAGGACACUCUAAGAUGAGGUCUUUGAAACUUUCCAUACAUCGAGAGAAUGAUUCAUUGGGUCUUUGGAGAAACUUAAAAAUGUCGUUCCUAAGCUU